rnacentral:rRNA from 1 species
UACGUAGGUGGCAAGCGUUGUCCGGAUUUACUGGGCGUAAAGAGCGCGCAGGCGGCCGAGUAAGUCGAAUGUGAAAGCCCCCGGCUCAACUGGGGAAGGUCAUUCGAUACUGUUCGGCUCGAAGAUAGGAGAGGGAAGCGGAAUUUCAGGUGUAGUGGUGAAAUGCGUAGAUAUCUGAAGGAACACCAGUGGCGAAGGCGGCUUUCUGGCGUAUUCUUGACGCUGAGGCGCGAAAGCUAGGGGAGCGAACGGG